rnacentral:rRNA from 1 species
GACGAACGCUGGCGGCGUGCUUAACACAUGCAAGUCGAACGGGUCUGCCCUGUUUUUUGCGGGGUGGGUCAGUGGCGAACGGGUGAGUAACACGUGAGUAACCUGCCCCUCACUUCUGGAUAACCGCUUGAAAGGGUGGCUAAUACGGGGUGUUCUGGCUGUGCCGCAUGGUGUGGCUGGGAAAGAUUCACUUUUGUGGUGUUUUGGUGGGGGAUGGGCUCGCGGCCUAUCAGCUUGUUGGUGGGGUGAUGGCCUGCCAAGGCUUUGACGGGUAGCCGGCCUGAGAGGGUGGGCGGUAACACUGGGACUGAGAUACGGCCCAGACUCCUGCGGGAGGCAGCAGUGGGGGGUAUUGCACAAUGGGCGGAAGCCUGAUGCAGCGACGUCGCGUGAGGGAUGGAGGCCUUCGGGUUGUGAACCUCUUUCGCCGGUGAAGAAGGUCCUGCUCUUUGUGGUGGGGUUGACGGUAGCCGGGUUAUGAAGCGCCGGCUAACUACGUG